rnacentral:rRNA from 1 species
GAUGAACGCUGGCGGCGUGCCUAAUACAUGCAAGUCGAGCGAACAGACGAGGAGCUUGCUCCUCUGACGUUAGCGGCGGACGGGUGAGUAACACGUGGAUAACCUACCUAUAAGAAUGGGAUAACUUCGGGAAACCGGAGCUAAUACCGGAUAAUAUAUUGAACCGCAUGGUUCAAUAGUGAAAGACGGUUUUGCUGUCACUUAUAGAUGGAUCCGCGCCGCAUUAGCUAGUUGGUAAGGUAACGGCUUACCAAGGCAACGAUGCGUAGCCGACCUGAGAGGGUGAUCGGCCACACUGGAACUGAGACACGGUCCAGACUCCUACGGGAGGCAGCAGUAGGGAAUCUUCCGCAAUGGGCGAAAGCUUGACGGAGCAACGCCGCGUGAGUGAUGAAGGUCUUCGGAUCGUAAAACUCUGUUAUUAGGGAAGAACAAAUGUGUAAGUAACUAUGCACGUCUUGACGGUACCUAAUCAGAAAGCCACGGCUAACUACGUG